CCACUGGGUUAUCUACCGUGAGGUGAGGAAUACCGGCGAGAAAUCGCCGACAAGACCGCAUAGCCUCGACGAUCCGUCGAGGAAAGUUUCCUUUCGAGGAGACGCCACACGAGGAGCCUGCGCCCGAUUAGCUAGCUGGUGGAGUAACGGUUCACCAGGGCGACGAUCGGUAGCUGGUCUGAGAGGACGAUCAGCCACACUGGGACUGAGACACGGCCCAG
rnacentral:rRNA from 1 species